rnacentral:tRNA from 2 species
GCGGGUGUCGUAUAAUGGUUUAUUAUGUCAGGUUUCCAACCUGAAGACGAGGGUUCGAUUCCCUUCACCCGCUCCA